AGAACAGAGAUUAUCAAACUACUUGAUCUUAUCUGAGCGGAAAGGUGAAGGUGACUAUGGGUGUAAGGACGCAGCUUAGGGGCAAGAGAAAAUGGAAUUAACAACAGCUGGUCCAUAGGGUGGAGCGGAAGGUAUGAAUGUGAAUGUGAUGAUGUUUAUUGAAGAAUAAAGGGGUGCUUGAAAAUGGCAAGACCGAUGUUUCCUGUGGAGUGAGAUCAAAUGCAUGGUGUGUUUACUUGAAUUCCCUUGUAUUCUAUGUAUAUGUUAGUUCUAAAUUCGUGAAGGUAUAUCGUAUUCAUAUAUGAUUUAUUUUCCUUUUGGGACAAGGUUUUGUAAUGGAUAAAGGAAGAAACAGAGGAAAGAAAUGUAUCUAUUUGUCUGUCUUUUUUUUUUCCCUUUGCUUUUUAAGGGAUUAUUUUUUCUUUAUAAAUCAUUGAAGGAUCUUGAGGGAA